AGUGAACGCUGGCGGUAGGCCUAACACAUGCAAGUCGAACGGCAGCACAGUAAGAGCUUUCUCUUACGGGUGGCGAGUGGCGGACGGGUGAGGAAUACAUCGGAAUCUACUUUUUCGUGGGGGAUAACGUAGGGAAACUUACGCUAAUACCGCAUACGACCUACGGGUGAAAGCAGGGGAUCUUCGGACCUUGCGCGAUUGAAUGAGCCGAUGUCGGAUUAGCUAGUUGGCGGGGUAACGGCCCACCAAGGCGACGAUCCGUAGCUGGUCUGAGAGGACGACCAGCCACACUGAGGCUGAGACACGGCCCAGACUACUACGGGAGGCAGCAGUGGGGAAUUUUGGACAAUGGGGGCAACCCUGAUCCAGCCAUGCCGCGUGAGGGAAGAAGGCCUUCGGGUUGUAAACCGCUUUUGUUCGGGAAGAAAGCCUCUGGGCUAAUACCCCGGGGGGAUGACGGUACCGGAAGAAUAAGCACCGGCUAACUACGUG
rnacentral:rRNA from 1 species